UUUUCGGAGGGGGGGGGGGGGCAAAUCCGUCUUAGACAUAAAUUCAUUCGAAAUAGUUCUAUGUUAUUAAUAGGUCAUUUAAUAUAUUUAUGUACAAAUAUCUAGAAGCAUAGCAUUUGCUGAGUCAAUGUAACUAUAUUUUUUGGCAACUAAGAUAUUAUAACAGUAUAUAUAGAAUUAUUUGCCAUGACAAUUUAAAAGCAAGUGCCCUUGUUGACGCAUAAGUAAACUUUGCACUUGCUGCAACUAAACAUUUUUUUCUUUUGCAUUCCUCCAUUUUGCAUCUCUGCGCAUUUGGUAUAUCCAUUAGAAUUAGCCAAUGAUCAUAUUUAUCAUAUCUGACACUUUCAGGAACAUCAGCAGCUUUCAUUCUUUUCUUCGGUGUUGGCUGGGCAUCAUCAGACCCAC